rnacentral:lncRNA from 1 species
UCGGUCAUCUCGCGCAAUGCUCGCUCCGUCUUCCACAACUCCUCCAAGAGAAAUACUUUACUCCGGAGUUCUUGAACUUCUGUAGAUACUUGAUCUUUUUCUCCCACUUUGGUCUUAAUCUCUGUCUCCACCUUAACUUUUUCGGACUCUGCCUCCUCAUCUUCAUUUAGAUACAUUUUGGGAUACUCAUCACAAUCACUCCCCA